rnacentral:lncRNA from 1 species
GAUGAGGGGUGUCUUGAUAUUGUGUAAUGUUAUCCCAAUCUAUCCGAUAAAUGAUGGAGACUUAAUGCGUAGAAAGCAAUAUCAUGCCUUACGAGUGUGGAUUUUUUUUCAUUAAUGAUACAAAGCAUUUUUAAUUUCAGAUAUGGCACACUAUGCAUUAUAUUUACAAAUAUAGCAUGGUUUUAUUACAUUCAGAAUUUGGUUUUCUGAAAACCGAAUUCUGAAUGUCAUUUGAAGAGUUUUUAAUAAAAACAAAAGUUGGAAUUCUUUUGACAGAGACACGAAUUCUGGGAAUGGGUAAAAUGAGCUUUUAAACUAGGUAAUUCUUUUUUAUCUUUUUACUUUAAAACCCUCCUCACUUUUUUUUUCUUGUUCCUUUUUUAACCUAAUUGCUGCCAUUUCCCUUUGUUGUUCAUCUUCUCUUCUCCAUUCUUGUUCUUCUCUUUGUGUUGUUACACUGCCACCGUUCCACGAGCAAAGCUUAAA